GGUAGGAUAAGCUAACUAAAGCUAUUGGGCCCAUACCCCAAAAAUGAAGGUUAAAACCCCUCUCCUACUA
rnacentral:tRNA from 2 species